UACAGAGGUCCCAAGCGUUGUUCGGAUUCACUGGGCGUAAAGGGUGCGUAGGUGGUCGGGUAAGUCCGAUGUGAAAUCUCCAGGCUCAACCUGGAAAUGGCAUUGGAUACUAUCCGGCUUGAGGAGUGGAGGGGGGACUGGAAUUCUCGGUGUAGCAGUGAAAUGCGUAGAUAUCGAGAGGAACACCAGUGGCGAAGGCGAGUCCCUGGACACUUCCUGACACUGAGGCACGAAAGCUAGGGGAGCAAACAGG
rnacentral:rRNA from 1 species